rnacentral:rRNA from 1 species
AUUGAACGCUGGCGGCAGGCCUAACACAUGCAAGUCGAGCGAGCGGCGGACGGGUGAGAAAUGUAUGGGGACUGCCCGAUCGAGGGGGAUAACUACUGGAAACGGUAGCUAAUACUGCAUACUAUCGGAUAAUCCAUAUGGGAUUAGCUAGUAGGUGAGGUAAUGGCUCGCCUGGGCGACGAUCCCUAGCUGGUCUGGGAGGAUGAUCAGCCACACGGUGAAGGAGACACGGCCCAUACUCCUACGGAGGCAGCAGUGGGGCAUAUUGCACAAUGGGCGCAAGCCUGAUGCAGCCAUGCCGCGUGUAUGAAGAAGGCCCUAGGGUUGUAAAGUACUUUCAGUUGGGAGGCGUUACCGACAGAAGAAGCACCGGCUAACUCCGUGCCAGCAGCCGCGGUAAUAC